rnacentral:rRNA from 1 species
AUACAGAGGGUGCGAGCGUUAAUCGGAAUUACUGGGCGUAAAGCGCGCGUAGGCGGUCUAUUAAGUCAGAUGUUAAAUCCCAGGGCUCGACCUUGGAACUGCAUCUGAUACUGGUAGACUAGAGUUUUGGAGAGGGAGGUAGAAUUUCAGGUGUAGCGGUGAAAUGCAUAGAGAUCAGAAGGAAUACCAGUGGCGAAGGCGACUUCCUGGCCAAAAACUGACGCUCAGGUGCGAAAGCGUGGGUAGCAAACGGGAUUAGAAACCCUAGUAGUCC